rnacentral:rRNA from 1 species
GGGCCCGCACAAGCGGUGGAACAUGUGGUUUAAUUCGACGCAACGCGAAGAACCUUACCUGGGUUUGACAUCCCCGGCCGACACCAGAGAUGGUGUUUUCUCUUCGGAGACCGGGUGACAGGUGCUGCAUGGCUGUCGUCAGCUCGUGUCGUGAGAUGUUGGGUUAAGUCCCGCAACGAGCGCAACCCUUGCCCUCAGUUGCCAGCAGUUCGGCUGGGCACUCUGGGGGGACUGCCGGUGACAAGCCGGAGGAAGGUGGGGAUGACGUCAAGUCCUCAUGGCCUUUAUAUCCAGGGCUACACACGUGUUACAAUGGGGGUCACAAAGGGCAGCGAAACGGUGACGUGGAGCGAAUCCCAAAAAAGCCCUCUCAGUUCGGAUCGCAGUCUGCAACUCGACUGCGUGAAGCUGGAAUCGCUAGUAAUCG